UACGUAGGGGGCGAGCGUUGUCCGGAUUUAUUGGGCGUAAAGAGCGUGUAGGCGGCCAGGUAGGUCUGCUGUGAAAACUCGAGGCUCAACCUCGAGACGUCGGCGGAAACCAUCUGGCUAGAGUCCGGAAGAGGAGAGUGGAAUUCCUGGUGUAGCGGUGAAAUGCGCAGAUAUCAGGAGGAACACCAGUGGCGAAGGCGCUCUGCUAGGCCGUAACUGACACUGAGGGACGAAAGCUAGGGGAGCGAAUGGG
rnacentral:rRNA from 1 species